CAGCAGCCGCGGUAAUACGUAGGGUGCGAGCGUUGUCCGGAAUUAUUGGGCGUAAAGAGCUUGUAGGCGGUCUGUCGCGUCUGCUGUGAAAACCCGAGGCUCAACCUCGGGCCUGCAGUGGGUACGGGCAGACUAGAGUGCGGUAGGGGAGAACGGAACUCCUGGUGUAGCGGUGGAAUGCGCAGAUAUCAGGAAGAACACCGAUGGCGAAGGCAGUUCUCUGGGCCGUAACUGACGCUGAGAAGCGAAAGCGUGGGGAGCGAACAGGAUUAGAUACCCCAGUAGUCCCUGUCUCUUAUAA
rnacentral:rRNA from 1 species